rnacentral:rRNA from 1 species
GACGAACGCUGGCGGCGUGCUUAACACAUGCAAGUCGAACGGAAAGGCCCUGCUUUUGUGGCGUGCUCGAUUGGCGAACGGGUGAGUAACACGUGAGUAACCUGCCCUUGACUUUGGGAUAACUUCAGGAAACUGGGGCUAAUACCGGAUAGGAUCUCCUGCUGCAUGGUGGGGGUUGGAAAGUUUCGGCGGUUGGGGAUGGACUCGCGGCUUAUCAGCUUGUUGGUGGGGUAGGGGCUUACCAAGGCUUUGACGGGUAGCCGGCCUGGGAGGGUGACCGGCCACAUUGGGCCUGAGAUACGGCCCAGACUCCUACGGGAGGCAGCAGUGGGGAAUAUUGCACAAUGGGCGGAAGCCUGAUGCAGCAACGCCGCGUGCGGGAUGACGGCCUUCGGGUUGUAAACCGCUUUCGCCUGUGACGAAGCGUGAGUGACGGUAAUGGGUAAAGAAGCACCGGCUAACUACGUG